rnacentral:misc_RNA from 1 species
GAGAAUAUUAUAGCUGAACCUGGUUUUUGAUUUACAUUGAAGUUGUAGCUUGUCUUAGUUUCCAAACUUCCACUUUCUCUAUAUCAGGCUAGUUAGAUUGAUCGCAGCCAUGCAACUGUGGUAUGCAUGACUGAGGCUUGCAAUAGAUGACCUUGCUUAUGAAAAUGUAAAUUGAUUUUACACUGGCGUGCUAUCUAUUUUACAUUUUCAUUGAGUCAGACCUACCAUUUU